rnacentral:rRNA from 1 species
GCCCUUAGAGUUUGAUCCUGGCUCANAACGAACGCUGGCGGCACGCCUAACACAUGCAAGUCGAGCGCACCUUCGGGUGAGCGGCGGACGGGUUAGUAACGCGUGGGAACAUACCCUUCUCUAAGGAAUAGCCACUGGAAACGGUGAGUAAUACCUUAUACGCCCUUCGGGGGANAGAUUUAUCGGAGAUGGAUUGGCCCGCGUUAGAUUAGAUAGUUGGUGGGGUAAUGGCCUACCAAGUCUACGAUCUAUAGCUGGUUUUAGAGGAUGAUCAGCAACACUGGGACUGAGACACGGCCCAGACUCCUACGGGAGGCAGCAGUGGGGAAUCUUAGACAAUGGGCGCAAGCCUGAUCUAGCGAUGCCGCGUGUGUGAUGAAGGUCUUAGGAUCGUAAAGCACUUUCACCAGGGAUGAUAAUGACAGUACCUGGAAAAGAAACCCCGGCUAACUCCGUGCCAGCAGCCGCGGUAAUAAGGGCG